GAAGCAAGUUGACUGGAGACUGUGUCUACUAGAGACGCUCAACAGACUGGAUGGAGAGAGGAGCUGUUUGAAGCUGGCGGAAGAAGUGUGCUUAGCCUCUGGGAUUAGAGCUGAGAAAGCAAGAACUUGGCUGAGAAGAGUCGUAAGAAUCAGUAUAUGGCUUGGUGUGUGUGUUUAUGUGUGCAUGCAUGCCUGUGUGUGCACAUAUAAUAAGGGCUAGAGAAUGACUGUCACCACCCCGGACAAACUGCUGAGCUACUGAAUUUUAUCCGCCUUCUGGCCAUGCUACAAAGUUGUCUGUGGAGUUGAAAUGUUUAUUGCAAUAACCUCUGACCUUACAUGAUUUAAGGUCUCUCUUAAUCUGGAAAUGUAUAAGAGUGCAGAAAAUAUUUUUAUAGGAUGAAAUACGAGCUCUCUACUUGACGCUGAAGAAUGGAGGGGAAAUGUACUAUUCCUCAGAUUCAAUCAAUAAAAUACUCCAUUUCCAUAAACACAGUAUGCAUAGACUGGCUUAUACUGGAAAGAAUUUAUUAGGUCAAGAGGAGUAUUAUUAAGAAAUAAAUGGAAAUGUUUAAAUAUU
rnacentral:lncRNA from 1 species